UACAGAGGUCUCAAGCGUUGUUCGGAUUCAUUGGGCGUAAAGGGUGCGUAGGUGGCGCGGUAAGUCGGGUGUGAAAUCUCGGAGCUUAACUCCGAAAUUGCAUUCGAUACUGCCGUGCUUGAGGACUGGAGAGGAGACUGGAAUUCAUGGUGUAGCAGUGAAAUGCGUAGAGAUCAUGAGGAAGACCGGUGGCGAAGGCGGGUCUCUGGGCCGAUAUUGACGCUGAGGAGCGAAAGCGUGGGGAGCAAACAGG
rnacentral:rRNA from 1 species